GUAGACGUCCCCUUGGUUCAGGUCGAAGUUGUAGGAGAAGAAUUUGUCGUCGCUCGUCGGGUUCUCCCAGUAGAACUGCUUCGCGAUCUCGCCCCAGAACUGCGCCGGGUACUCGAUGGACCUAGAGUGUCGGGAACCCUUCACCCUUGGGGACCUCGCAGGAUAUUGCUCGCUCGGCCUCGAGCUGCCUCGCGAGCCGGAUCGAUACGGAGCUUCUAUUUCUAACUAGCGUCUAGGCAGAGCGACGGCCUUGCGCCGUAAUGUACCCCGAGGAAGAGGUCCUUGCAAGAGGGAGGAAAAAAAUCACCCUAGACUUCGAUAAUGACAACACGAGGGGAUCAUUUCCACGAGUACUACAGACCUCUCCGAGAGUCUCGAAGGACUUUUUAGGGAGAAAACCAGGUCACCUCUUGUGCAUCCGCCUGUAGUGGUCCAUCCCGGAGCAGUGCGCGAUCUUGGCGAGCUCCGCAUGGGGAUG